rnacentral:RNase_P_RNA from 1 species
GAAGCUGACCAGACAGUCGCCGCUUCGUCGUCGUCCUUUCGGGGAGACGGGCGGAGGGGAGGAAAGUCCGGGCUCCAUAGGGCAGGGUGCCAGGUAACGCCUGGGUGGGGGGGAAACCCACGACCAGUGCAACAGAGAGCAAACCGCCGAUGGCCCACGUAAGUGGGAUCAGGUAAGGGUGAAAGGGUGCGGUAAGAGCGCACCGCGCGGCUGGUAACAGUCCGUGGCACGGUAAACUCCACCCGGAGCAAGGCCAAAUAGGGGUUCAUAAGGUACGGCCCGUACUGAACCCGGGUAGGCUGCUUGAGCCAGUGAGCGAUUGCUGGCCUAGAUGAAUGACUGUCCACGACAGAACCCGGCUUAUCGGUCAGUUUCACCU